UACGGGGGGGGUAAGCGUUGUUCGGAAUUACUGGGCGUAAAGGGCUCGUAGGCGGGCUGUCAAGUCUGGGGUGAAAUCCCGCGGCUCAACCGCGGAACUGCCUCAGAUACUGACGGCCUCGAGGGAGGUAGGGGCGAGCGGAACUAAUGGUGGAGCGGUGAAAUGCGUUGAUAUCAUUAGGAACUCCGGUGGCGAAGGCGGCUCGCUGGGCCUUUUCUGACGCUGAGGCGCGAAAGCUAGGGGAGCAAACGGG
rnacentral:rRNA from 1 species